GAUGAACGCUGGCGGCGUGCCUAAUACAUGCAAGUCGAGCGAGCGGACGAGAAGCUUGCUUCUCUGAUGUUAGCGGCGGACGGGUGAGUAACACGUGGAUAACCUACCUAUAAGACUGGGAUAACUUCGGGAAACCGGAGCUAGUACCGGAUAAUAUUUUGAACCGCAUGGUUCAAAAGUGAAAGACGGUCUUGCUGUCACUUAUAGAUGGAUCCGCGCUGCAUUAGCUAGUUGGUAAGGUAACGGCUUACCAAGGCAACGAUGCAUAGCCGACCUGAGAGGGUGAUCGGCCACACUGGAACUGAGACACGGUCCAGACUCCUACGGGAGGCAGCAGUAGGGAAUCUUCCGCAAUGGGCGAAAGCCUGACGGAGCAACGCCGCGUGAGUGAUGAAGGUCUUCGGAUCGUAAAACUCUGUUAUUAGGGAAGAACAUAUGUGUAAGUAACUGUGCACAUCUUGACGGUACCUAAUCAGAAAGCCACGGCUAACUACGUG
rnacentral:rRNA from 1 species